GACGGAGGAUGCAAGCGUUAUCCGGAAUCACUGGGCUUAAAGGGCGCGUAGGCGGGCUGCCAAGUCCGUAGGUGAAAUCCCCCGGCUCAACCGGGGAACGGCCUCGGAUACUGGCGGCCUGGAGGGGGGUAGGGGCGUGCGGAACUGUGGGUGGAGCGGUGAAAUGCGUUGAGAUCCACAGGAACUCCGGUGGCGAAGGCGGCACGCUGGACCCUUUCUGACGCUGAGGCGCGAAAGCCAGGGGAGCGAACGGG
rnacentral:rRNA from 1 species